CUUUUCAUCCCAUAUCUGAUUUGCCACCUCCAGAGCCAUAUGUACCCAUGAACAGAAGUUAUCCCAGUAAACUAGCAAGAAAUGAAAGUAGAGGUGGUUCUGGCCGAAAAGAAAGAGGUGCCCCCCCGCUUCCACCUAUACCAAGGUGAAAUGGGUUCUGGCUCAUCUUUGGUUGACGUCUGUUUUCAAGUUUCCUUCAACUAGCUCUCCUGUCCACAUCAUUGGAAAGUUGUCUGUUUUGCUUCAUUUCCACUUUUGGCUUGUCAGUUGGAAAAAAACUUCAGUCUCUAUUACAGAAGUAAUAGAUGCAGCUCAUGAACUAUAGUUGCUCAAAGCUAUAAAUUUUAUUUGCUUGUACUGCAGGCUGUCAUGAAAGGCAUUUUGUGGACCACAUACAACAUACGUGCAUCAAGCUUACUGUGUCCAGCCCUGUUCCCCAUGAGAGCUUCAUGGGAGGUCUGGCUUUGAAUUUAAUGAGAACUGGAACAAAGCUGUUUCAUUUGCUUUGGGUACAGUGGCGGUAACAUUUGAAUGAUAAAGUACAAUCUAUUUUCUGUUUAAAAAACAGUUUCUGGUGAAAACGGUGUAGCCCACAGGCACCUGGAUUCUUCUUUGCAUGCCUGACUCAGCCCGUCUGCUUCUGCAAGCCAUAGACCUACAAUAUGGUGACCAGGAGUUCAUCCUAAACCUUUUCACAUCAUCUUAACCAAGCACAUCUUGUUUUAAACAAUAGAUGGCACAUCCUGCCCCGAAGGCGGAGCGUGUCUGGCCUUGUUUUUAUCUGUGGAUAAUCAUCCAAAGAAAAGCAGAAGUGAAAAACUCACUUUUUGAGGAAUUUUUUUAAACCCUCUUUCCUUUUUUAUUUUUUUAAUAGUGUUAUGUUUUUAGUCACCUAGUUCUUUCCUACUCUGAUGUGGACCAGCUCACAGCCAUCCAUAUUCUGGAUUAUUGUCAUGCCCUCUAUCUGAGACUACAUGCAAAGAGUCCUCAGAAAGUAGCCUUGGUACAAAUGCAACAAUUACUGUAGUGGCAGGGUCCUGCUGUAAAGCAUUGCUACCACCAGCGCUCCACAGACUGCUUUCCAGG
rnacentral:lncRNA from 14 species